AUAAUCUCUAUAGUUAUUUGAUCUUAACACUUCUAUUAACCUGAUAUUAAUGGAAAUAUAAAAACUGAUCAGAUACAGAUAUAUGUGCUUAGUUUAAUUAUAUAAAAGGGUGGAGCAGCCACCAAAUCUAUCUCCGUAAUCACUAUUCCUACGAACGACGCCGCUAAGCAUCCUCGUGAAAGAGAAAAAGCGACGCUCGUUCUCUGUUUUCCGGUUCUCCAACGUCUUUUUGUCCUCUCUAAAAUCACGCGCGUCUGUGCACGUAAACGGUUUUCUAAGUGACAGAAAGAAUCUCCUGUGUCCAUCCCAAAAUCUUGUUUAAAUCCCUCUGGAAAGAUCUUGAGCAUUUACGUUCCUUAUCAAGCCAAGUCGCUCUGAUUAGUAUGUUUUAUCUUAUAAGAAAUGCAUACAAACUGUUCGAUAAAAUCACCACACCAAACUCUCACGUAACAACCUUCAUAUGUUGUUUGUAUUACACUUCUACAUUCAAUAAACAUACAAAUUACGAAGAUCCCACAAAUUUUCAUUACCCAAACGACAACGUAAUAUCAUGGACAUAUAAAAUUUCCAAGCUGGUUAGUAAAAACCAGCCUGAACAGGCAAUUGGGCUGUUCAAAACUAUGCUAUUAACUGAUCAAAGGCCUAACUUUGUGACACUAGUGAGCGUAAUACGUGGCUUAGGUGCAUUUCAUUGCCAAGACUUAAUAAGUGCGGCACAUGGGUUUGUGAUUAAAUUGGGGUUUGAGCUAGAAGUUCCUGUCCGGACAGCUCUUAUUCGAUUUUACACGUUGUUUGAUUUUGAAAUUUCGCUGAAGUUAUUCGAUCAAAAGCUACACAAUGAUGUCGUAUUGUGGAGCGCAAUGGUUUCGGCUUGUGUUAAGAACGCCAAGUAUAGGGAGGGUGUUCAACAUUUCAGGAGAAUGUUGAAUUAUGGUACAGAAGCUAAUCAUGUAACUGUUAUUAGUAUUUUGUCUGCUUGUGGUCAUCUUGGUGGAUUAUGUUUUGUGAAAGAGAUUCAUGGGUUUUGUUUAAAAAAGGUGUUUUAUUCUUUUACAGUUGUUCAAAACUCACUUAUGGAUGCGUAUGCAAAAUGUGGGAAAAUUGAGGCUUCUUUUUAUAUAUUCAAUAGGAUAUGUGAGAAGGAUUUGAUUUCAUGGAGAACUGUGAUUCGCAUAUGUGUUGAGAAUGAGUGUCCCAGAGAAGCAUUGGAUAUUUUCUUGAAGAUGCAACGUUCUACCACUGAAGCAGAUGAAAUUAUUAUCCGGGAUACAAUUAUGGCAUCAAUACAAGCAAAAGAGCUUAAAUUUGGACUUGGAUUUCAUGCUUACAUAGAGAAAAAUGGAUUCUCAGGUUAUGUUUCAGUUGGGACUGCACUUCUGCAAAUGUAUGGUAAGUUCAGCAAGUUUAGUUCAGCUUGGCUGGUAUUUGAUCAACUGAAUUAUAAAGAUCUUAUUGCAUGGAGUGCAAUGAUCUCAGUAUAUGCUCGAGGAGGGAAACCGUAUGACGCCUUAAAUAUAUACAGACAGAUGCAGUCCACAAAUGAGAAAGCUAAUGAGGUUACAUUUGUUAGCCUAUUACAAGCAUGUUCUGCACUGGGUGCUCAAGAGCUUGGGGAAAGCAUCCAUGGAUUCAUAACUAAAGCUGGUCAUUCAUCCAAUGCUUUUCUGAAUUCUGCAUUGAUUGAUUUAUACUGCAAAUUUGGAAGUGUAAAGAAAGGGAAGGCUGUCUUUGACGAAAUUUCCACCAAAGACCUAAUUUGUUGGAGUUCAAUGAUUAAUGGAUACGCGUUGAAUGGAUGUGGAUCUGAGGCUCUUGAAACAUUCGCAGACAUGUUGAAUUGGGGAUUCAAGCCCAAUGAAACUGUUUUCCUUUCCAUUCUAUCUGUGUGUAGUCAAUGUGGGCUAGAACAUGAGGGUCGCAAAUGGUUUUAUUAUAUGCAGGAAAAGUAUCGACUUGCUCCAAAACUUUCACACUAUGCUUGCAUGGUGGAUUUGCUAAGUCGCCAUGGACAUAUUGAGGAGGCUCUUAUGUUUGUAAAGAAAAUGCCAGUGGUGCCUGAUAAAAGAAUCUGGGGAGCUGUUCUUGCUGGUUGUAGAUCAAGAGGAGAUGGGUCAACUGAGGUGGCAGAGUUUGUAGUCCGACAGCUUAGCGCACUAGACCCAGAAAACACAAGCUAUUAUGUGACUUUAUUAGACUUGUACGCAGAGCAGGGUCGAUGGAAGGAUGUGGAGAGGCUUACAAAAAUAGUGGAUGAGAAGGGGUCAACGAAGAGAAUAGAAUGCAACGUAAUGGAAACAAAUUAAUAGGUAUAAAUUGCCUCCAAUUCCCUUCUCAUGACAGACCCACAGUCGCUCACUCUAACAUUCAUACUGGGUUUGCCUGUUCAGAGAUGAAAAAAGGGAUCCUUGAAGUCCUACUUGUUCAUGCUGAAGGCAUUAGACACACAAAUCUCAUUGGAAGACCAGCCUAUUAUGUCAUCACACAAUGUGGCAACAGAGUACAUGAAAGCAAAGUUUCAUCAGGUUUACUUCCUGCUUUUCAUUUUUAAUAUACUUGCCUGCAUUCAACUAAACUAAGCUUCAAUCCGAAUUUAUUUUCAUUUUUAAUAUCUUUACCAUUAAUUCCUCCAUCAAUUUGUUGAAGAGUUCUACUACCUGAGCUCCAUGAUGCAGGUAAAGACCAAGAGGCUUGCUGGAAUGAGAAAUUCAGGUUUGAAUUUCCACUAAUUGAUUGGAAACGCAUGACCCAUCUAAAAUUCAGAAUCAUGGAUAAGGAAUUCUUCACAGACAGUGGAUUUGUUGGGGAAACCAUGUAAUAUUAAAUAAUUCUUGUCUACAGUUUUUUUUCUUCCCACUAGUAUUCUGUCUUUUAAAAUCUUGAUGUUGCACAAAGUUAAUGGGGGAUCAUGGAGCACAAAGAUGCGAGUACGAAACCCAACUAGAUUUUUUCACUUUAAUUUUGUUUUAGAUUUCAAGUGGAUAAGAAAAUUAUGCAUUCACCCUGACUUGACUGUUUAAUAUUUCCUCUCUUUUCAGACUAGCUUCAUAGCAUUUGAGUGACACUCCCAUGGCUACAAGUUACACGUAGAAUUAGAAGAAAGAGAGCUUGCAUGAAAGUUAAAAUUCUGCUAAACAUAUUUCGCAUUGUAGAACUUUCUUUUGCAUAAUACUUUUCUGUAGAUAUAGCAACAAUGUAAUAUCAGAAAUAUCAUCACUUCUUAAAAUUUUGUUAUUGUUUAGCUUUUAAUGUAGAUAUUAUUUUUGCUUCCGUGAGUCAGAAUAUACCUUGGAGGAAUAAUAGCUGAGGGAAUUAAUAAAGGAAUUCUAGAAGUGAAACCAGCUCCAUAUAAUGUGGUGCUUGAAGAUGACACCUAUAAAGGAGAGAUUAAAAUUGGACUCAAUUUCAUUAUCAAUG